rnacentral:rRNA from 1 species
GUCCUUUUGAAUUUAAUUGAAGGUCUGACCUGCCCAGUGAUGAAUUUAACGGCCGCGGUAUAUUGACCGUGCAAAGGUAGCAUAAUCAUUAGUCUUUUAAUAGAGGGCUGGAAUGAAUGGUUUAACGAGGAACUGACUGUCUCAUUUUAUUUGUUUUAAAAUUUAAUUUUUUAGUCAAAAAGCUAAAAUUUUAUUGGAAGACGAGAAGACCCUAUAGAUCUUUAUAUAAAUUCUUGUAAUUAUUUCUAUAUUAAUGUGGUUAUAUUAAUUUAUAUUUUGUUGGGGUGACAAAAAUAUAUAAUUAACUUUUUUAUUUAUUUACCAUUGAUAUAUGAAUAUUUGAUCCAUUAUUAGUGAUUGUUAGAUUAAGUUACCUUAGGGAUAACAGCGUAAUCCUCCUCCAGAGUUCAUAUUUACAGGAAGGGCUUGCGACCUCGAUGUUGGAUUAAGAUAAUAAUUAGGUGUAGCCGCUUAAUUUAUAGGUCUGUUCGACCUUUAAAUUCUU